UAAUUUUGAAAAUAAAAACAAGAAUUCCUGGAACUUGGAGAAACAUAUUUUGCACAAAAUGGAGGCAAUGGAUGGAAUGUCUUGCAAAUGAAGUUGACUUCAUAUUAGAAUUACCUGCAAACUGCAUAAAUGCCUGAUAAAUAAGCAAGAAAAUUAUCUCAAAGUGCAUGAAUUUGAAUGGCACGAAUAGGAGAUGCCAAGUAUCACAUUUUCUUGGUGAAGGAAAUUGAGCCAUAGGGAAGCUAUAUAUUUUGCCUGAACUUGAACAGCAGUCUCAUGCACACUGGC